rnacentral:misc_RNA from 1 species
UCCGGUUUAUCACCGGCAGUUCCCCAUGAGUCCCCGGCAUUACCCGCUGGCAACAUAGGGCAAGGGUUGCGCUCGUUGCGGGACUUAACCCAACAUCUCACGACACGAGCUGACGACAGCCAUGCAGCACCUGUCUCCAGGUUCCCGAAGGCACCCCCACAUCUCUGCAGGGUUCCUGGGAUGUCAAGGCCAGGUAAGGUUCUGCGCGUUGCAUCGAAUUAAACCACAUGCUCCACCGCUUGUGCGGGCCCCCGUCAAUUCUUUUGAGUUUUAGCCUUGCGGCCGUACUCCCCAGGCGGAACACUUAUCGCGUUGGCUGCGGCACAGAGGGAUUCGACUCCCCCCACACCUAGUGCCCAUCGUUUACGGCGUGGACUAC